rnacentral:rRNA from 1 species
CCAAUAGCGUAUAUUAAAGUUGUUGCAGUUAAAAAGCUCGUAGUUGAAUUUCGGAAUCUGUCCAUCGGUCGGGCUUCACGGUCCGUACUGGUGUGGUGGGUUCUUACCUUCUGAAUAACCAGCAUGCCAUUCACUUGGUGCGUUGGGGAAGCAGGACUAUUACCUUGAAAAAAUUAGAGUGCUCAAAGCAGGCUAGUGCCUGAAUACAUUAGCAUGGAAUAAUAAAAUAGGACGGCAUGGUUCUAUUUUGUUGGUUUCUAGGAUCACCGUAAUGAUUAAUAGGGAUAGUUGGGGGCAUUAGUAUUCAAUUGUCAGAGGUGAAAUUCUUGGAUUUAUUGAAGACUAACUUCUGCGAAAGCAUUUGCCAAGGAUGUUUUCAUUAAUCAAGAACGAAAGUUAGGGGAUCGAAGACGAUCAGAUACCGUCGUAGUCUUAACCAUAAACUAUGCCGACUAGGGAUCGGACGAUGUUAAUUUUUUAAUGACUCGUUCGGCGCCUUACG